rnacentral:rRNA from 1 species
UACGUAGGAUGCAAGCGUUGUCCGGAAUUAUUGGGCGUAAAGGGCGCGCAGGCGGCUUUUCAAGUCAGAUGUGAAAUAUCCCGGCUUAACUGGGAGGGGUCAUUUGAAACUGGAGAGCUAGAGUGCAGGAGAGGAUAGCGGAAUUCCCGGUGUAGUGGUGAAAUGCGUAGAUAUCGGGAGGAACACCAGUGGCGAAGGCGGCUAUCUGGCCUGCAACUGACGCUGAGGCGCGAAGGCUAGGGGAGCAAACAGG